GUGAAUCAUCGAAUCUUUGAACGCAUAUUGCGCCCCCUGGUAUUCCGGAGGGCACACCUGUUCGAGCGCCAUUUCGACCCCUCAAGCAUAGCUUGGUGUUGGAUGAGGUCCCGAGAGGGAUCCACCCUUAACUCGUAGGCGGUCGCCGCCCGCGCCUCCAGCGUAGCAAGCCUAACGCAUUCGCUCGAGGACGGCGUUUGACCAGCUGGCAAAACCAAACCCCUUUUUUCAAGGUUUGGCCUCGGAUCAGGUGGGGAUACCCGCUGAACUUAAGCAUAUCAAUAAGCGGAGGA
rnacentral:misc_RNA from 1 species